AUAUCAAUAAGCGGAGGAAAAGAAACCAACAGGGAUUGCCUCAGUAACGGCGAGUGAAGCGGCAACAGCUCAAAUUUGAAAUCUGGCCCCUCCCGGGGUCCGAGUUGUAAUUUGUAGAGGAUGCUUCGGGCAAGGCCGCGGUCUAAUUCACUUGGAACAGCGGGUCACAGAGGGUGAGAAUCCCGUCCCGGACCGUGCGUCGCGCCCGUGUGAAGCUCCUUCGACGAGUCGAGUUGUUUGGGAAUGCAGCUCUAAAUGGGUGGUAAAUUUCAUCUAAAGCUAAAUAUUGGCCAGAGACCGAUAGCGCACAAGUAGAGUGAUCGAAAGAUGAAAAGCACUUUGAAAAGAGAGUUAAACAGUAUGUGAAAUUGUUGAAAGGGAAGCGCUUGCAACCAGACUUGCGCGUGACGGUUCCCCCGGCCUCCUGGCCGGGCUACUCCGUCAUGUCCAGGCCAACAUCGGUUCGGGUGGUCGGUCAAAGACCCCGGGAAUGUAUCUACCUCCGGGUCGACUUAUAGCCCGGGGUGUAAUGCGGCCCACCCGGACCGAGGAACGCGCUCCGGCUCGGAUGUUGGCGUAAUGGUUGUAAGCGGCCCGUCUUGAAACACGGACCAAGGAGUCUAACAUCUGUGCGAGUGUUUGGGUGUCAAACCCCUACGCGUAAUGAAAGUGAACGGAGGUAAGAACCCGCUUUUUCGAAAGUGGGCGCAUUAUCGACCGAUCCUGAUGUCUUCGGAUGGAUUUGAGUAAGAGCAUAGCUGUUGGGACCCGAAAGAUGGUGAACUAUGCGUGAAUAGGGUGAAGCCAGAGGAAACUCUGGUGGAGGCUCGCAGCGGUUCUGACGUGCAAAUCGAUCGUCAAAUUUGCGCAUAGGGGCGAAAGACCAAUCGAACCGUCUGGUAGCUGGUUCCUGUCGAAGUUUCCCUCAGGAUAGCAGUAACGUUUUCAGUUUUAUGAGGUAAAGCGAAUGAUUAGAGGCCUUGGGGUUGAAACAACCUUAACCUAUUCUCAAACUUUAAAUAUGUAAGAAGUCCCUGUUGCUUCAUUGAACGGGGACAUUUGAAUGUAUCGUUACUAGUGGGCCAUUUUUGGUAAGCAGAACUGGCGAUGCGGGAUGAACCGAACGUGAGGUUAAGGUGCCGGAAUGUACGCUCAUCAGACACCACAAAAGGUGUCAAUGCAUCCAGACAGCCGGACGGUGGCCAUGGAAGUCGGAAUCCGCUUAGGAGUGUGUAACAACUCACCGGCCGAAUGCAUUGGCCCUGAAAAUGGGUGGCGCUUAAGCGUGCUACCUAUACCUCGCCGUCAGGGUUGAAAUGAUGCCCUGACGAGUAGGCAGGCGUGGGGGUUCGUGACGAAGCCUCGGGGGUGACCCCGGGUCGAACAACCUCUAGUGC
rnacentral:rRNA from 1 species